GAUGAACGCUAGCUACAGGCUUAACACAUGCAAGUCGAGGGGAAACGAUAUUGGAAGCUUGCUUCCGAUAGGCGUCGACCGGCGCACGGGUGAGUAACGCGUAUCCAACCUGCCCAUCACUUGGGGAUAACCUUGCGAAAGUAAGACUAAUACCCAAUGACGUCUCUAGAAGACAUCUGAAAGAGAUUAAAGAUUUAUCGGUGAUGGAUGGGGAUGCGUCUGAUUAGCUUGUUGGCGGGGUAACGGCCCACCAAGGCGACGAAUCAGUAGGGGGUUCUGAGAGGAAGGUCCCCCACAUUGGAACUGAGACACGGUCCAAACUCCUACGGGAGGCAGCAGUGAGGAAUAUUGGUCAAUGGACGAGAGUCUGAACCAGCCAAGUAGCGUGCAGGAAGACGGACCCUAUGGGUUGUAAACUGCUUUUAUAAGGGAUAAAGUGAGUCUCGUGAGACUUUUUGCAUGUACCUUAUGAAUAAGGACGGCUAAUUCCGUGCC
rnacentral:rRNA from 1 species